CCUACGGGGGGCAGCAGUGAGGAAUAUUGGUCAAUGGACGAAAGUCUGAACCAGCCAUGCCGCGUGCAGGAAGACGGCUCUAUGAGUUGUAAACUGCUUUUGUACGGGGAUAAACGCAUAUACGCGUAUCUGUCUGAAAGUAUCGUACGAAUAAGGAUCGGCUAACUCCGUGCCAGCAGCCGCGGUAAUACGGAGGAUUCGAGCGUUAUCCGGAUUUAUUGGGUUUAAAGGGUGCGUAGGCGGUCGGAUAAGUUAGAGGUGAAAUCCCGAGGCUCAACUGCGGAAUUGCCGUUGAUACUGGUCGGCUAGAGAGUAGUAGAGGUAGGCGUAAUGUAUGGUGUAGCGGUGAAAUGCUUAGAUAUCACACAGAACACCGAUUGCGAAGGCAGCUCACCGGGCUACUUCUGACGUUGAGGCACGAAAGCGUGGGGAGCAAACAGGAUUAGAUACCCGGGUAGUC
rnacentral:rRNA from 1 species